rnacentral:rRNA from 1 species
AGCAUGUGGUUUAAUUCGAAGCUAACGCGAAGAACCUUUACCAGGUCUUGACAUCCGAUGCUAUUUCUAGAGAUAGAAAGUUACUUCGGUACAUCGGCGGACAGGUGGUGCAUGGUUGUCGUCAGCUCGUGUCGUGAGAUGUUGGGUUAAGUCCCGCAACGAGCGCAACCCCUAUUGUUAGUUGCCAUCAUUCAGUUGGGCACUCUAGCGAGACUGCCGGUAAUAAACCGGAGGAAGUGGGGAUGACGUCAAAUCAUCAUGCCCCUUAUGACCUGGGCUACACACGUGCUACAAUGGUUGGUACAACGAGUUGCGAGUCGGUGACGGCGAGCUAAUCUCUUAAAGCCAAUCUCAGUUCGGAUUGUAGGCUGCAACUCGCCUACAUGAAGUCGGAAUCGCUAGUAAUCGCGGAUCAGCACGCCGCGGUCGAAUACGUUCCCGGGCCCUU